rnacentral:rRNA from 1 species
GGGCACUCUAAGGUGACUGCCGGCUAAAAGUCGGAGGAAGGUGGGGAUGACGUCAAAUCAUCAUGCCCCUUAUGACCUGGGCUACACACGUGCUACAAUGGGCGGUACAAAGGGUUGCGAACCCGCGAGGGGGAGCCAAUCCCAAAAAGCCGCUCUCAGUUCGGAUUGCAGGCUGCAACUCGCCUGCAUGAAGCCGGAAUCGCUAGUAAUCGCGGAUCAGCAUGCCGCGGUGAAUACGUUCCC